GGGCGUGUGGCUCAGUUGGUAGAGCGUUCGCUUAGCAUCUUGACUUGAUCAUAGUAUCAAAUAUCUCGUAUGCGAAAGGUCCUGGGUUCGAUUCCCAGCUCGUCCA